rnacentral:lncRNA from 1 species
CGGGUUUUACCCGGCCGAACCGAGUUUUGGUCAUUUGGCCCCGGUUUCAAUUUUUUAGGUUUUAGAGGUUAGACGGGACAGCCUCAUCGCCGCCGGAUCACAGUUGAACUCGUCCGACCGGCCGGUCCAGUCCGAUUCUAAAUUACCCAAAUUGUCUUUUUUUCUUCUUCCCUUUUUAAGUACAAUUCAAUUCACCCCUUGGACUUCAAAACGUCAUCUUGAACAUUUUCGAGUCCAAAUUUAUCAAAAUUCAAAAUACGAAGUUUCUAAUUUUUUGAAGUAGCUUUCUAAUCCAAC